AACGAACGCUGGCGGCGUGCCUAACACAUGCAAGUCGCACGAGAAAGUUCUUCGGAACGAGUAAAGUGGCGCACGGGUGAGUAAUCCAUAGGAACGUGUCAUUAGGAGGGGAAUAACAACGGGAAACCGUUGCUAAUACCGCAUAAUCUAGUAAUAGCAAAGACGGCCUCCAUUUAUAAGCUGUCACCUAAUGAGCGGCCUAUGUCCCAUUAGCUAGUUGGUGGGGUAAAAGCCUACCAAGGCAACGAUGGGUAGCUGGUCUGAGAGGACGAUCAGCCACACUGGAACUGAGACACGGUCCAGACUCCUACGGGAGGCAGCAGUGGGAAUAUUGCACAAUGGGCGCAAGCCUGAUGCAGCAACGCCGCGUGAGUGAAGAAGGGCCCUUGGUGUAAGACGUCUUCGUACCGAGGGAAGAAGGGUAGUAAGGU
rnacentral:rRNA from 1 species